rnacentral:sRNA from 15 species
GUGUAAGAUGAAACAACUAUGACCACAUGAUGGCGAAUAGUCGUGAUCUGAUUAUAUCAUCAUGUCUGUUUAUGUGCAAUAUAAAAGAACCUGAAACUGUUCAGGUUCUUUUUUGA